GCGCUUGGCGGGCGACUGAGAGCGGAGCGGGCGAGGCCGAGGAGCGGAGGCUGAAGCCGUGAGGAGCGGCCCGGCGAGGGCGAGGGGCGUGCGAGCGGGCGGCCGCGGCUCGCCUUUGGCCCUUCUUAUCAGGAUGAAAACGCUUCUGUUUGGUGUCUGGACCCUGCUGGCCUUGAUCCUUUGCCCAGGGAUUCAAAAGGACACAAGCCUUGGCAUCACUGUGUAUUAGCCACCAGAGCAAGUGAUCCUGGAGCUGCAGCCUGCCUGGGUGGCUGUGGACGAAGCCUUCACAGUGAAGUGUCAUGUACCCAGUGUAGCACCCUUGGAGAGUCUCACCCUUGCCCUUCUCCAGGGUAACCAAGAACUGCAUAGAAAGAACUUUACGAGCUUGGCUGUGGCCUCCCAAAGAGCUGAAGUCAUCAUCAGUGUCAGAGCCCAAAAGGAGAAUGACAGAUGCAAUUCUUCCUGCCAUGCAGAA
ensembl:lncRNA TCAM1P testicular cell adhesion molecule 1, pseudogene